rnacentral:rRNA from 1 species
UGUAUGAAUGGCAUAACGAGGGUUUAACUGUCUCCCUCCCCCAGUCAAUGAAAUUGAUCUGCCCGUGCAGAAGCGGACAUAAACACAUAAGACGAGAAGACCCUAUGGAGCUUUAGACAAAAGAUCAAACAUGUAAAGAAACCAAACCAACCAAAAGGAACACAAAGGCCACAAAACCCAACGUAAAAUGAUCAAAAUGUCUUCGGUUGGGGCGACCAUGGGGGAAAGAAAAGCCCCCACGAGGAACUAAGGGCAAUCCAUUAAGCCAAGAGAUACACCUCUAAGCAACAGAAAAUCUGACCAAAAAUGACCCAGGACACUAAUCCUGAUCAACGAACCAAGUUACCCUAGGGAUAACAGCGCAAUCCUUUCCCAGAGUCCAUAUCGACGAAAGGGUUUACGACCUCGAUGUUGGAUCAGGACAUCCUAAUGGUGCAGCCGCUAUUAAGGGUUCGUUUGUUCAACGAUUAACAGUCCUACGUGAUC